GGCCUCGUCGUCUAACGGUUAGGACAUGAGCUUUUCAAGCUCAGAACGCGGGUCCGACUCCCGCCGAGGUCA
rnacentral:tRNA from 2 species